rnacentral:rRNA from 1 species
GACGAACGCUGGCGGCGUGCUUAACACAUGCAAGUCGAACGGAAAGGCCCUGCUUUUGUGGGGUGCUCGAGUGGCGAACGGGUGAGUAACACGUGAGUAACCUGCCCUUGACUUUGGGAUAACUUCAGGAACUGGGGCUAAUACCGGAUAGGAGCUCCUGCUGCAUGGUGGGGGUUGGAAAGUUUCGGCGGUUGGGGAUGGACUCGCGGCUUAUCAGCUUGUUGGUGGGGUAGUGGCUUACCAAGGCUUUGACGGGUAGCCGGCCUGAGAGGGUGACCGGCCACAUUGGGACUGAGAUACGGCCCAGACUCCUACGGGAGGCAGCAGUGGGGAAUAUUGCACAAUGGGCGGAAGCCUGAUGCAGCAACGCCGCGUGCGGGAUGACGGCCUUCGGGUUGUAAACCGCUUUCGCCUGUGACGAAGCGUGAGUGACGGUAAUGGGUAAAGAAGCACCGGCUAACUACGU